GUAGACGCUUUUGACGAAUGUGAGAUUUGCUAAAGAACGCAAACAUUUACAGCGAGCUUUUCAGAAAAUCCUAGUGGUUGUCAGCCUCUUGAUAGAGGAAGGGAAGCAUGGCCUACAACAAAAUGGAAGAUGGAUAUACGCUGGAAUCUUGGAAUUUUUGGAAAAUUUGUCAAGAUUAUGUGGACGAAAUCUAUAGUGGAUGUUUCAAAAGAAGGAUGAAAAAGCACUCCGUUUAAUACUGCAUCAAUAACAUAUCAUUCAUUCACUGAACUUUGUUAUUGAACGAAAUAUUUUCAAUGACACCCAAAGUUGAUGAAAUUACUUAGCAACCCAGUAUUGUGUAAAGAAAGGCAACAGCGGAAGUUCCAAGAGAAAGUGUGUAGUGUAACCUACAUUUUUGGUGGCAAGCAUGGGAAAGUAUCUGUGAUUGUUGUGUUUUUUUUGUUUUUUUUUGUAUAAAGCUAAUAUAUUCCUGCUUUUUUCAAAGGCCCUUCUUUACUCUCACGGAUAAUAGGUGCUCAUUCAGUUUAUCUUGCUGCUGACGCAAAAGUAUUUCAGUGUUCAACAGAUGGCAGCAUUGAAGAUAAUUUGUUUUGAAGGCCGUGAAGUAGUUUCUCGGGGCGUUAUGUAUCCUGGCCUUGGGCCUACCUCGAAGGUCCAGGCCCACACAACCCUUCAUCAGUCGUAACAUUCUCUCCUAAGCACAUUAUAAGAUAUCUCCAGUUGAAAUUGCGUAGCCACCAUUUCUUCCGCUACAAGUUGACCAUAACAUUAAAUCUAGCAGCUUGCAAAUAAUCUACAACUUAUUACAGAUCGAACACCUUAGUUCCCGUACGAACACGUUUCAUCCGUAUUGUUUGCAGUUGGAAUCCUGGAAUAAGAACAUAGUAUUGAACCAUUUGCAAGUUUUCUUCGCCAGAUGGCGUUACGUGUUACCUAAUCUGGCUAACUAUGAACCGUCCAAGUCCAUAAUUUAGUAACACCAAAUGGUCGGAGU